rnacentral:rRNA from 4 species
UCCCGCAACGAGCGCAACCCUUAUCCUUUGUUGCCAGCGAUUAGGUCGGGAACUCAAAGGAGACUGCCAGUGAUAAACUGGAGGAAGGUGGGGAUGACGUCAAGUCAUCAUGGCCCUUACGACCAGGGCUACACACGUGCUACAAUGGCGCAUACAAAGAGAAGCGACCUCGCGAGAGCAAGCGGACCUCAUAAAGUGCGUCGUAGUCCGGAUUGGAGUCUGCAACUCGACUCCAUGAAGUCGGAAUCGCUAGUAAUCGUGGAUCAGAAUGCCACGGUGAAUACGUUCCCGGGCCUUGUACACACCGCCCGUCACACCAUGGGAGUGGGUUGCAAAAGAAGUAGGUAGCUUAACCUUCGGGAGGGCGCUUACCACUUUGUGAUUCAUGACUGGGGUGAAGUCGUAACAAGGUAACCGUAGGGGAACCUGCGGUUGGA